CCAUAACGCGGUCGCCCCGUGAUCCCCCCUUCUCCAAUUGCUGGGGGGUUAGGGCGGCCACACGCGUUCUUACCACCCUUGAUUUUGAGCACCUUCAUGUUUCCUCGGCAGGGACGCCUGCCAGCGAGGACCCCCAAAAAACUUUUUGCAGUUUGCAGUAUUUGUCUGAAAACAAACAUAAUAAUCA
rnacentral:misc_RNA from 1 species